CCGCUCCUUGCCUCCCUGACACAAACCCGACCUGGUCGUUAUGAAUUAAUUUCGGGAGAAUUGAGCUCAGUCUGGUUGCGAAUACUUUGGCAAAUAUUUUCGCGUCUGUAUUGAGCAGGGAGAUGGGUCUGAAGUUUUGUGGGUGUAUUGGUGGUUUACCUGGUUUCGGAAUUGUGAUGAUAUGGGCUAAUAGUGUGUCUCGUGGUAACACUUGCUCCCUUGUCGCUUCCGUGUAUGUGAGUGCGAGGUGGGGUGCCAGGAUGUGUUGAAAUUGUUUGUAGUAGCUGUUGUCCAGCCCAUCCGGGCCUGGCGCUUUGCCUCUCGGCAGGUUUUUGAUUAUUGUGUGGAGUUCCUCACUGGUUAUGGGUUUAAUGAGGUUAAAUUGCAUCUUUCAAUAAAUAUGAAGCUACUUCCUUUCCUUCAUGAUGGGUCCUAUAUAAAGCUAUUGAGAACCUUUUGUAAGUAGUUUCUUUUU